AGGCCUGUAGUUUAAUGGUAGAACGAGGAUCUCCAAAGUCCUUGGUGAUGGUUCAAUUCCUUCCAGGCCUG
rnacentral:tRNA from 1 species